rnacentral:rRNA from 1 species
AUGCCUCCUCGCAAGUCGUGGAAGCCCAAGGGCAGCAGCCGCGGCCCGGCGCAGAGGCCCCACGGGAAGUCCGCCGCCGCCCCCGACCCUAACCCCGCCCACGAGUACCCCUACGACGCCUCGGCGGCCGCCGCCUCAGAGGCCCUUGAGCGCCUCGACGUCUCCGCGGCCGCCGAGGAGGAUCCUCCGGUGGAGACGCCGCCGCCACCGCCGCCUACCCAGCACGAGGUCCCCGCGCCGGCACCGCCGUCUCAGCCGCCGGUGGAGGCUUCGUCGUGUGGGUCUGGGAGCGCCGCGGCGGGUGGGGGCCGGGAGGAAGGGGCCUUGAGGAGGCUGCGGGAGCUGGUGGGGAUUGGUCGGGAGGAGGUAGAGUUGACUGAGGAGGAGGUGCGCACCAACGAUCAGAGGCAGGAGGACGAGAUAUGUGCCCUGGAAGCAAUUUUUGGCGACACUGUAGUCAUGCUGAACAGAAAGCAAGGCCAGCGGACUUUCCAGGUUCACGUGCAUAUUGAGAUCCCAGAUGGCACAGAUGUAUCGGCAAGGCUCAGUUUUGGUGCUGGAACACUAAAUUAUAAAGGAGCGCAUGAUGAAGAUGCCUCUGAUGAUCUUGUUUACAAGUUUAGAGUUGAGCAUUUACCUCCAAUCCUGCUGACAUGUCUCCUGCCUUCGUCAUACCCGAGCAACCAGCCUCCCUUUUUCACUAUAUCCACCGAAUGGCUGGACAAAGUGAUGCUUUCGUCAUUAUGUCACAUGCUGGAUAUGAUUUGGGAAGAGCAACUGGGCAUGGAAGUAGUAUAUCAGUGGGUGCAAUGGCUCCAAAGCUCUUCCCUUUCUUACUUAGGGUUUGAUAAUGAGAUAGUUUUAAGCAAGGGUGAUCUAACGUGUGUUGAAGAUGGUGGGGAUAACCGUGCUUGUCCAGAUGAUGCUCCACCUGAUUUGACAAUUCCAAGGAUUAUUAGAUACAAUGAUGAUAAGCGUCAUGAAGCCUUUUUGCAUGGUAUCCAUGACUGCAUGAUUUGUUUCAGCGAGCUUCCUGGUGUCGAUUUCAUCAACCUUCCAUGCCACCAUUUCUUUUGCCAGAAAUGCAUGCAAACAUAUUGCAAAAUGCAUGUCAAGGAAGGAACUGUAGUGAAGUUGCUGUGUCCUGAUACAAAAUGUGAAGGUGUUGUUCCUCCCAAUAUAUUGAAAAGGCUGCUGGGGGAGGAUGAGUUUGAACGUUGGGAAGGAUUGCUUCUUCAGAGAACUCUUGACGCCAUGGCUGAUGUAGUUUAUUGUCCAAGAUGUCAAACUGCUUGCUUGGAAGAUGCAGGUGAUGAAGCUGUGUGUUCAAGUUGUUUAUUCAGCUUCUGCACACUUUGUAGAGAGCGCCGUCAUGUUGGGGUGGAAUGUUUAUCUCCAGAAGAAAAACUUAUUAUUUUGGAGAGACGUCAAAAGUCUGGCCAAGUGAAGGGAGAUAUCCAGAAGGUUGUGGAUGAAGUACGCAGCAUCAAGGAAAUUUUGAAGGAUGCAAAACAGUGUCCACGAUGCAAGAUGGCUAUAUCUAAGAUAGAAGGAUGCAAUAAGAUGACCUGUUGGAACUGCGGGCGGUUCUUCUGCUACCAGUGUAAUGCUGCAAUCAGUGGAUACGAUCAUUUCAAGGGUGAUUGUGUGGUAUUUGAUCAGGAGGAAAUUGAUAGAUGGGAAAUGCAAAUGAAUCAAAGGCAACAACGCCAAGUAGUUGCGCAAGCGCAGGCUGAAAUCUUCGAAGGAGAAUAUGGUUACCCAUGUCCUACUUGCCGCAACCCAAUUCCAAAGAUCGGAAACAACAACCAUCUAUACUGCUGGGCAUGCCAACGGCACUUCUGUGCAUUGUGCCGGAAGGUCGUCCUCAAGACGUCGCAGCAUUUUGGUCCUAGGGGAUGCAAGCAACAUACAGCGGACGACUGA